ACCGGACCCGCAUCGCGGGUGGCUUCUCCAGGCGCCUAUCCCCUGGCAACCA
rnacentral:ncRNA from 1 species